GUGAAUCAUCAAAUCUUUGAACGCAAAUUGCACUCCCUGGUAUUCCGGGGAGUAUGCCUGUUUGAGGGUCGUUAGAAGUAAAAUCGAAGCAUCGCUCUUUUUUUGAGGGUGAUCGCGUAGGAAUUGAGCCGUCUUUCAAAUGUUAACUUAUGUCAUAGUGGUUUAAAAUUUAUCCAUCCGGCAUGAUUAAAGUGUUUUUAAGAUCAAUCUUGAUUAAGAACGUGCGAUGACGUACCAUCUUAUGUAGUAGGUUCGACUGGGGUCAUCAGUCUCAUUCG
rnacentral:misc_RNA from 1 species